GAUGAACGCUGGCGGAGUGCUUAACACAUGCAAGUCGAACGGAAAGGCCCUGCGUUUGUGGGGUGCUCGAGUAGCGAACGAGGAAGUAACCCGAGAGUAACCUGCCCUUGACUUAGGGAUAACUUAAGGAAACUGGGGAUAAUACCAGGUCGGCGCUCCUGCUGCAUGGUGGGGGGCAGAAAGUUUCAGCGGUUGGGGAUGGUAUCGCGGCUUAUCAGUGAGGUGGUGGGGUGGUGGCUUACCAAGGCCUUGACGGGUAGCCGGCCUGAGAGGGGGACCGGCCACAUUGGGACUGUGAGACGGCGCAGACUCCUAUGGGAGGCAGCAGUGGGGAAUAUUGUGCAAUGGGCGGAAGCAUGAUGCAGCAGCGCCGCGUUCGGGAUGACGGCCUUCUGGUUGUAAAACGCUUUCGCCUGUGACGAAGCGUGAGUGACGGUAAUGGGUAAAGAAGCACCGGCUAACUACGUG
rnacentral:rRNA from 1 species